ensembl:lncRNA
GUCCAUCACUGGAGUCCAUCACUGUAGUCCAUCCCUGUAGUCCAUCACUGGAGUCCAUCACUGUAGUCCAUCCCUGUAGUCCAUCACAUGAGUCCAUCCCUGUAGUCCAUCACAUGAGUCCAUCACUGGAGUCCAUCACUGUAGUCCAUCCCUGUAGUCCAUCACAUGAGUCCAUCCCUGUAGUCCAUCCCUGUAGUCCAUCCCUGUAGUCCAUCACAUGAGUCCAUCAGUGUAGUCCAUCACUGGAGUCCAUCCCUGUAGUCCAUCACAUGAGUCCAUCACUGGAGUCCAUCACUGGAGUCCAUCCCUGUAGUCCAUCACAUGAGUCCAUCACUGGAGUCCAUCACAUGAGUCCAUCACAUGAGUCCAUCACUGGAGUCCAUCACAUGAGUCCAUCACAUGAGUCCAUCACUGGAGUCCAUCACAUGAGUCCAUCACAUGAGUCCAUCACUGGAGUCCAUCACUGUAGUCCAUCACAUGAGUCCAUCACUGGAGUCCAUCACUGUAGUCCAUCACAUGAGUCCAUCACUGGAGUCCAUCCCAUGAGUCCAUCACUGGAGUCCAUCCCUGUAGUCCAUCACAUGAGUCCAUCCCUGGAGUCCAUCACUGGAGUCCGUCACAUGAGUCCAUCACAUGAGUCUAUCACUGGAGUCCAUCAUAUGAGUCCAUAACUGUAGUCCAUCCCUGUAGUCCAUCACAUGAGUCCAUCACUGGAGUCCAUCACUGUAGUCCAUCACAUGAUCCAUCCCCUGUAGUCCAUCACAUGAGUCCAUCACUGGAGUCC